GUCUCCAAUUUCAUCUCAUAACAAGUUCCCUGUUGGUCAUUUUUUUUCCAUCAACUCUGACCUCCUUGGUGUAGGCAAAGCUGCCAAGUUUGCUUCUGUUUCUGGGUCUUUGCACUCUCUUUUCUUUCUGCUCAAGAUUCUGGUAUGAGUCAUUUCCUCACUGGAUUUGGGUGGAGAGGGCUUCCCUGGUCAUCUAUCAAACCACCAUGCCUCAUUGUGACAUCUUCUAGAAGAGUAUUCUCCAAGUGUGUCCCUGGGACCUUGUUAGAAAUGGAAAUUCAAGGGCAUCAAUGAAGAUAUACUGAAUCAGAAAUUCUGAGAGUGGAGCCCAGCACACUGUUUUAUCAAGCCUUCUAGGUGAUUCUGAUGAACACUAUCAUUUGAGAACAGCCCUGUUUCUCCAUUCACAGCUUGACAAUUAAUAAAAAUCUCUCUGCUCAGAAAA